AUGUAGUUCAUUUUUCACCUAUCGCCAGUGUAGUUCGUCGCUUUUUCUUUUCAUCUCUCCUUUUUCUUCUGUGUUUGAGUGAGGGUCUUCCCUCUGCUCUUGACGGAGUCAUGAGAGUGUAGAGGAGUCAUUGAGGAAGCUUUCUCCCUCGUCGAUCAAUCGAGUCUUUGGUUGCAUCGGGAUGAGGUCCUCCCCUUAUUCCUGAC
rnacentral:lncRNA from 1 species